UCGCGAUCGAAGUGUCGCGGGGAAGCCGUUAAGCUCGCCGCCUGGGGAGUACGGUCGCAAGGCUGAAUCGUGAGGAGAGAGAUCUUCUCGCGCAGUUCACUUAAAGGAAUUGGCGGGGGAGCACCACAAGGGGUGAAGCCUGCGGUUCAAUUGGAGUCAACGCCAGGAAACUUACCAGGAGCGACAGCAGGUUGAGGGUCAGGCUGAAGACUUUACCUGACGAGCUGAGAGGAGGUGCAUGGCCGUCGCCAGCUCGUGCCGUGAGGCGUCCUGUUAAGUCAGGCAACGAGCGAGACCCUUGCCGGUAAUUGCUAGCCGGGAUAGCAGUAUCUCGGAGGCUAGUUACCGGGACUGCCGCUGCUAAGGCGGAGGAAGGAGAGGGCCACGGCAGGUCAGUAUGCCCCGAAACUCCUGGGCCACACGCGGGCUGCAAUGGUAGGGACAGUGGGUCCCGACUUCGAAAGGAGAAGGCAAUCCUCAAACCCUACCCCAGUUGUGAUUGAGGGCUGAAACCCGCCCUCAUGAAUAUGGAAUCCCUAGUAACCGCGUGUCAUCACCGCGCGGUGAAUACGUCCCUGCUCCUUGCACACACCGCCCGUCGCUUCACCCGAGUUGGGUUUUGGCGAGGUCGGCUUUCAUUGGGCCGAUCGAACCUAAGUUCGGCAAGGGGGGA
rnacentral:rRNA from 1 species